GCCUAGUUAGCUUGGUUGGUAGCGCGUCUGCCUUGUAAGCGCUAGGUCGCGGGUUCGAUUCCCGCCCGAGGCG
rnacentral:tRNA from 1 species